AAUCAACGCUGGCGGCGUGCCUAACACAUGCAAGUCGAACGCGAAAGGGGCUUCGGUCCUGAGUAGAGUGGUGAACGGGUGAGUAACACGCGGGUGAUCUACCUUCAAGUGGGGGAUAACGUUCCGAAAGGAACGCUAAUACCGCAUGAUGUCCUGGGUUGAAAGACGUGGAGACCAAAGCCGGGGACCGUAAGGCCUGUCGCUCGAAGAGUAGCACGCGUCCGAUUAGCUAGUUGGUGGGGUAACGGCUCACCAAGGCGACGAUCCGUAGCUGGUCUGAGAGGAUGAUCAGCCACACUGGAACUGAGACACGGUCCAGACUCCUACGGGAGGCAGCAGUGGGGAAUAUUGGACAAUGGGCGAAAGCCUGAUCCAGCCAUGCCGCGUGUGUGAAGAAGGUCUUCGGAUUGUAAAGCACUUUAAGUUGGGAGGAAGGGUUGUAAGCUAAUAUCUUGCAGCUUUGACGUUACCAACAGAAUAAGCACCGGCUAACUCUGUGCCAGCCGCCGCGGUAAAAC
rnacentral:rRNA from 1 species